rnacentral:lncRNA from 1 species
GGUGACGCCCACCGCCUUCUCCGAGUGCCCCAGCCUCAUCAGCAUUGACCUGUCCUCCAACCGCCUCAGCCGUCUGGAUGGCGCCACCUUUGCCAGCCUGGCCAGUCUGAUGGUGUGUGAGCUGGCCGGCAACCCCUUUAACUGUGAGUGUGACCUCUUCGGCUUCCUAGCCUGGCUUGUGGUCUUCAACAAUGUCACCAAGAACUACGACCGCCUGCAGUGUGAGUCACCGAGGGAGUUUGCUGGCUACCCACUGCUGGUGCCUCGACCUUACCACAGCCUCAAUGCCAUUACCGUCCUGCAGGCCAAGUGCCG